GUUUUUACCUCUUAGUAUUCCAGAAUUUCACAAUUAAAUUACACAAAAAAAUUAUUUUUUCUAGUAACUUCCCAUGCAGAACUGUAAGCAACAACACAAUGGAAGCAUUCAAAUUCAUAUAUUAAUUUUAAGUAAGUAAGUAAUUAAGUAAUUAAUUUUACAAAUUAUUCCUCAAGUCAGUAUACAGGGUGUUUCAGAACUAUGGGAUCAAACUUCUGGGGGUUGUUCAGUGCAACAGAAGAAUCCAUUUGAGUAUAGGAACGCAUGUCCGGAAAUGCGUCACUAUGCCACUACGGCCCUAAGACGCGUUAAAAUUUAAAAAAAAACAUUCAUUACCUAAAUAGGAUCUGCUGCAUUUAUUUUUACCUUUUGUACAUGAUACCAUAACAACAAUUGUUUAAAAUCAACGCUUAUCAAUGUCAAUUCCCAAUGUCAUGUUUAAAAAUUUUAUAGCUUACAAUUUUUAAACAUUUAUUGCUAAUGGAAAACUUUACCAAUCAAGAAUUGGCGGAUAUGCAUUUGGCAUACGGAGCAACAAACUGCAAUGCACGAGCAGCAUCGCGGUUGUAUCAUGAACGUUAUCCCGAACGACAGCAUCCUGGAUACAAAAAAUUUAUUGCGGUUCAUCGGCGGCUCGCUGAGACAGGCAUGUUUAAGACCAAGAUGCAUGAUACUUGUGUUGCUCGAACCGUAAGAACGGUCGAAUUUGAAGAAGAGGUGCUUCAGCGAGUUGCCGAUGAACCAUCAAAUAGCACACGUGACGUCGCUAAGAAUAUGAAUACGAGUAACGCUUCUGUCUGGCGGGUACUACACGAGCAACAACUCCAUCCUUACCACUUUCAGAAAGGUAUGACUGCAGCCGAUUAUCAUCCUAGAGUUCAAUUUUGUCGAUGGCUUCUGGAUCAUUGCACAACCAAUUUUUUAUGAUAUGUUUUGUGGACCGAUGAAGCCUCUUUCACAAGAGACGGUAUUUUUAAUAGUAGGAAUAGCCAUGUUUGGGACAAAAAAAAUCCUUAUGCAAUUUUUCCAAGAAAACAUCAGAAUCGUUGGUCUGUCAACGAAUGGGCAGGCAUUAUUUGAUGAUGAAUUGGGCCAUACCUUCUAUCGGAAUGGUUAACAGGACCUAUUUAUCUGCCCCCGAAAGUUUUCCCAGAACUCCUUGAAAAUAUUCCACUAAACGUUAGACAGCAAAUGUGGUUUCAGCAUGAUGGAGCGCGGGCUCACUUUGCUGUAAAAGUACGCGAGUAUUUGGCUCAGCGGUUUGGGCACCAUUGGAUUGCCAGAGGGACAUGUAAAGUCUUUAGUCUACGAAACUCCAGUAGAAUCAGAGCUAGACUUAAUUGGAAGAAUAACAGCAGCAUUUGAAAUCAUCCAAAACGAGGAUCAAAUUUUUAGUGUAGUCCGCCGAAAUCAUGUGCGGCGUUUAAAUUGGUGUAUUCAGGUUGGAGGAAGACAUUUUGAACAAUUGUUGUGAUGGUAUCAUAUACAAAAGGUAAAAAUAAAUGCAUCAGAUCCUAUUUAGGUAAUUAAUAUUUUUUCUAAAUUUAAACGCGUCUUAGGGCCGUAGUGGCGUAGUGACACAUUUCCGGACAUGGGUUCCUAUACUCAAAUGGAUUCUACUGUUGCACUGAACAACCCCUAGAAGUUUGAUCCCAUAGUUCUGAAACACUGUGUAUAAUACAUAAAAUCAAGCAUAAAAGUCAGUAAAACCAGUUUUUAUUAACACACAACAUAAAAUUGAAAUACAACAUUUAAAAUUUAUGCAUAUAAAAUUUAUUCACAAAAUAAACUUCACUAAAUUAAAUGUUUAGAUAUAAGUUAAAUCUUAAACCUAAAAUAGUCCUAUAGUCAGUCCUGAGCAAAAAGUUUCUGACUCUUGAGCCAUAACAUGGAAAGGCUAGAUCCCUAAUUUACACAGGUAGUUUGUUAUAAAACUUUAUUUCUCCUGAAUUCAAGAGAUUCCAUGAAGAAUUGAGUUAAAAGGAGAUUGUAAGGAAUAUAUUUUGGAGGGUAAAAACAACUUAAACAAUAGAUACUUAAAAGGCUUAAAGUAUUAAGAAAAUUAUUUCUGACUGAUGGCGGUUUGGCAAAGUACCAUUUUGGAAUGACUUGUUAAUUAAAUUAGGUGGUUUAAUGCCCAGUCUGGUAGAGUCACAAACAUUUUCAGAGUAAUCCCAUCCAUCCCAGACAAGAAAUUGUUCUUAAUGUCUACAAUUGUACUUUUAAGCUUCAUUGUUACUACAAAAAAUUAGGUAAAAACUGUGUAUAUUUUAAUUUAUUAAAGUAAAUUGAUUUAAGUUUCUAAAGAUAUUUACAAAGUAAUUAUUUAGGCUCUCAGGUGAUGCAAAGAUUGUGCUAGAAUAAGCUUUAUCUUUGAAAUUAUUUACAAUAAAUUAUGGUUUUUUAGGAUCAUUUGGGAUGCAACCAUUAUCUCCUAUUAUAAUAAAUAGCCUUGGCAGCUUUUAGAGUCCUAUAAAAUACUCUUUGAUAAAUCUUUUCAACAUUGCCAAGGGAUUAACUACAGAAAGGAAACUGAGCAGAAACUUAUAUUAUUUUAAAAUUCAACAUUGUAGUCAUCUUUAAAAAAAUUCUUGUAUUUGUUAGCUGUACUUUUUUACCACUGAAUACUGAAUACAAUUUAAAGUAAUCCACAAUACCAACCUUUAUACAAAUUCUCCCAUUUAAACUUUAAACAGGAAAUGAGGUAGAUCUUUAAAAAUAUGAAUUACAAUAAAUACUAGCAUGUUGAUGAGAUGGCAGAACAAAAAAUAUAAUCAAAACAAGAUUUUUCAGGACUUCAGAUGAGGACCAGCCAAAAUUGUUUGGGAUCAAGAUUAUUUUGGGUUAAAUUAAUUUUUGUCUUUAUUCUCAUAUAUAACACUAACAGAUGUUGAAAAUAAAUAAAGAAAUAGUUUGAACAUUAACGCUAGUUAGAAAUAUGAGAUCUUUUUACCUUUCCAUCGUGGAUCUUUCUCCCUUGGAUGUAUGGUAUAGUGAGUGGUGAUUUUUGGAAAUUGGUCCGAGUAACAUCUCUUAAUGUAUUUAAACUGGUUAGCUAGAAGUAAAUAUGUAUUAAUGAGGACAUUAAAGGCCUUCAACAAAUCCAUAUUAAGGAUUAUGUAAAGAAAGAUUUUGAUAAACUAAAACUUUAAUAUAAUACCAAAUGUCUCUGCUAACUUUUCUGUUAAACAUAUUCAAUUUUUAAUUAAUCCAGGUUUGAUAAAAAAAAUUAAAAGAUUUUAUAUGUAACAUACCAAUUUUUAUAGAAUUUCCAAAAUAUAAACUCAUUUUUGUCUUAUGAUUGUAACAAUAUAAUACCCGAAACCAAAGUACACAAAACUAGAACAUAUUUUUUAGAAAUAAAUGAUUUAAGGAGUCAAAGUCCAAAAGGUUUAAUAACUAAGAAAAUAAAAACAAAAUAAAAAUAAA